CUUAACUCUAACAAUGCAACUUGCUGUUUUCAGCCAAACAGUAAAAUCUCUAAUGAGACAAAGAGGGGUAUUUUUUGUAAACCCCUACACACUUUUUUUUCCCCUUUGGUUUUUGAUUUGUAUAGCAGAGUCUUGUGUUUGAUGAUCUGAGCUAGUGACCUUGGUACAUUACAAAUCCAAUCCCAGUUCCAGCAUUUUAGCUCUUGAUUGGAGUUGUUAUAGCCUAAGCUUGGUUGGGUAUACCUGUAACCACAAAGGAUAAAACUGGAGCUGCUGGAUUGUAUGCUCACUGAUACUGGCAGCUCCACUUGCUAAUUGAACUGAAUAAAUAUAGGACCUUUAAUUAAUUUGAGAUCUGUUCUAGCAAAGAAUAUAUUGGUUUCUCUAGUGGUUCUGACACCAGUUUGCUGGCAGUGAAGCCAGCAUGUUAGCAUCAGCACAGAGGAUUGCCAAGCUUAGGAAUGUGGUCCCAAUGAGGGCCAAUCACUCCACACUCAAAAACAAGCCAAACCCCAUGUACAUUCAUGCUUAGCCACCCACACACAAUCACACUAGGGGUUCGUAUUUGCAGAAAAGGGAG